CAUGCACCAGUGGGGUCCCUCAGCCUGGCCUGUGCACUGUCACAAUCUGGGACCCCUCAAGGGAUAUUGGAUUGCCAGUUUUGGCUCAGUCCCCUCAGGCCAGGCUGAGGGACCCCACUGGUGCAUG
rnacentral:pre_miRNA from 1 species